AUAUGAAUGUAACUUAAAUAAAGUUUUUUAUGUAUCAAAGUAUGUUAAUUUUUAUCAUUGACAAUGAAACUGAUCAAUUUAGUGACAUUUUUAAUCUGAUUUAUGAAAAUUCUCAACAGCUGAAUGUUACUGCUGGUUCUGGUCGUUUCAUCCCGACUCUUCCAUAUUGCCCUUAUGUGUAUAAUCGUCUUCAACAAAGAGAUAAGGUAAUAGUACCUGAAAAAAUUGACAGAAAACCAAUUGUCAAAUAGAUGAAGUAGACCACUAAUGAAGGAUGGUAGAAAAUUUAAGUGACUUAUUGCACAGAUAAUUAUCUAGCAGAAGAGGAAAUGUCACCAACUGAAUAUAUAUUCCAUGGCUUUUGAAAUAACAUUAUUAUUCUUUUGUGGCGUUC